CAAUAGCGUAUAUUAAAGUUGUUGCAGUUAAAAAGCUCGUAGUUGGAUUUCUGGUCGGAAGCUCCUGUCCUCUGAUGUGCGUACAAGUGCGUCCUACCAUCCUUCUGUUAACCUUUAAGGCUUUCGCGGCUUUCUAGGGGCUCAGAUAUUUUACCUUGAGAAAAUUAGAGUGUUUCAGGCAGGCUAGCGCCGGAAUACAUUAGCAUGGAAUAAUGGAAUAGGACUUUUGCCUCUUCUGUUGGUCAUGAGGCUCGAGUAAUGAUUAAUAGGGAUAGUUGGGGGCAUUAGUACUUAACUGUCAGAGGUGAAAUUCUCGGAUUUGUUAAAGACUAACUUAUGCGAAAGCAUUUGCCAAGGAUGUUUUCAUUAA
rnacentral:rRNA from 1 species